rnacentral:rRNA from 1 species
ACGCUCGACACCUACGGGAGCAGCAGUGGGGAAUAUUGCACAAUGGGGGAAACCCUGAUGCAGCGACGCCGCGUGGAGGAAGAAGGUCUUCGGAUUGUAAACUCCUGUUGUUGGGGAAAAAGAGGAUGGUACCCAACAAGGAAGUGACGGCUAACUACGUGCCAGCAGCCCCGGUAAUCUGAGCGGGCUGGCAAGGC